CGUAAGGUGCCGGGCGAGUCAUAAUUGGAACGUCGCCCGAUCCCUAGUCGGCAUAGUUUACGGUUGAGACUACGACGGUAUCUGAUCGUCUUCGAUCCCCCAACUUUCGUUCACUGAUUAAUGAAAACAUCCUUGGCAAAUGCUUUCGCAGUAGUUAGUCUUCAAUAAAUCCAAGAAUUUCACCUCUGACAAUUGAAUACUAAUGCCCCCAACUAUCCCUAUUAAUCAUUACAUCAAUCCCUAGAAACCAACAAAAUAGGAUCGAACGUCCUAUUUCAUUAUUCCAUGCUAAUGUAUUCAAGCGUUUGCUUGCUUUAAACACUCUAAUUUUUUCAAAGUAAAGGUCCUGGUUCCCCGCGGCACCCAAUUAAGGACAUCGCGGUUCUCCAGAAGGUGAGAAAUUGACUGCACCAGUUCAUACCCCGUAAGGCACGACCGAUGCGCCAAUCCCGAAAUUCAACUACGAGCUUUUUAACUGCAACAACUUUAAUAUACGCUAUUGGAGCUGGAAUUACCGCGG
rnacentral:rRNA from 1 species